rnacentral:rRNA from 1 species
AGAGUUUGAUCAUGGCUCAGGAUGAACGCUAGCGGCAGGCUUAAUACAUGCAAGUCGAGGGGCAGCGGGGUAGCAAUACCGCCGGCGACCGGCAAACGGGUGCGGAACACGUACAGAACCUUCCUUUAAGCGGGGAAUAGCCCGGAGAAAUCCGGAUUAAUACCCCAUAGUAAUAUUGAUUGGCAUCAAUUGGUAUUUAAAGAUUUAUCACUUAAAGAUGGCUGUGCGGCUGAUUAGGUAGUUGGUGCGGGUAACGGCCCACCAAGCCAGCGAUCAGUAACUGGUGUGAGAGCACGACCAGUCACACGGGCACUGAGACACGGGCCCGACUCCUACGGGAGGCAGCAGUAAGGAAUAUUGGUCAAUGGACGCAAGUCUGAACCAGCCAUGCCGCGUGAAGGAUGAAGGUCCUCUGGAUUGUAAACUUCUUUUAUCUGGGACGAAACACUCUUAUUCUUAAGAGCUUGACGGUACCAGAGGAAUAAGCACCGGCUAACUCCGUGCCAGCAGCCGCGGUAAUACGGAGGGUGCAAGCGUUAUCCGGAUUCACUGGGUUUAAAGGGUGCGUAGGUGGGAAUGUAAGUCAGUGGUGAAAUCUCCGUGCUUAACAUGGAAACUGCCAUUGAUACUAUGUUUCUUGAAUCUUCCGGAGGUCAGCGGAAUAUGUCAUGUAGCGGUGAAAUGCUUAGAUAUGACAUAGAACACCAAUUGCGAAGGCAGCUGACUACAGGAGCAUUGACACUGAGGCACGAAAGCGUGGGGAUCAAACAGGAUUAGAUACCCUAGUAGUCC